rnacentral:rRNA from 1 species
UACGGAGGGGGCUAGCGUUGCUCGGAAUCACUGGGCGUAAAGCGCACGUAGGCGGAUCUUUAAGUCAGGGGUGAAAUCCUGGAGCUCAACUCCAGAACUGCCUUUGAUACUGAGGAUCUUGAGUCCGGGAGAGGUGAGUGGAACUCCGAGUGUAGAGGUGAAAUUCGUAGAUAUUCGGAAGAACACCAGUGGCGAAGGCGGCUCACUGGCCCGGUACUGACGCUGAGGUGCGAAAGCGUGGGGAGCAAACAGG